rnacentral:rRNA from 1 species
ACAACGGAGAGUUUGAUCCUGGCUCAGGAUGAACGCUAGCGGCAGGCUUAACACAUGCAAGUCGAACGGUAACAUAGUCAGCUUGCUGAUUGAUGACGAGUGGCGCACGGGUGCGUAACGCGUAUGCAACCUACCUUUAACUGGAGGAUAGCCCGAAGAAAUUCGGAUUAAUACUCCAUAAUAUAUGUCCUUCGCAUGUUGGACAUAUUAAAGCUUUGGCGGUUAAAGAUGGGCAUGCGUAACAUUAGCUAGUUGGUAAGGUAACGGCUUACCAAGGCUACGAUGUUUAGGGGGCCUGAGAGGGUUAUCCCCCACACUGGAACUGAGACACGGUCCAGACUCCUACGGGAGGCAGCAGUGAGGAAUAUUGGUCAAUGGACGAAAGUCUGAACCAGCCAUGCCGCGUGCAGGAAGACGGCCCUACGGGUUGUAAACUGCUUUUAUACGGGAAUAAACCCUUGAACGUGUUCGAGGCUGAAGGUACCGUACGAAUAAGCACCGGCUAACUCCGUGCCAGCAGCCGCGGUAAUACGGAGGGUGCAAGCGUUAUCCGGAUUUAUUGGGUUUAAAGGGUGCGUAGGCGGGCUAUUAAGUCAGUGGUGAAAUCUCUCAGCUUAACUGGGAAACUGCCAUUGAUACUGAUAGCCUUGAAUUUAGUUGAAGUAGGCGGAAUGAGGCAUGUAGCGGUGAAAUGCAUAGAUAUGCCUCAGAACACCGAUCGCGAAGGCAGCUUACUAAACUAACAUUGACGCUGAGGCACGAAAGCGUGGGUAGCAAACAGGAUUAGAUACCCUGGUAGUCCACGCUGUAAACGAUGAUUACUCGCUGUUGGCGAUACACUGUCAGCGGCCAAGCGAAAGUGAUAAGUAAUCCACCUGGGGAGUACGUUCGCAAGAAUGAAACUCAAAGGAAUUGACGGGGGCCCGCACAAGCGGUGGAGCAUGUGGUUUAAUUCGAUGAUACGCGAGGAACCUUACCAGGGCUUAAAUGUAGAACGACCGAUUUGGAAACAAGUCCUCUCUUUGAGCGGUCUACAAGGUGCUGCAUGGUUGUCGUCAGCUCGUGCCGUGAGGUGUCGGGUUAAGUCCCUUAACGAGCGCAACCCCUAUCUCUAGUUGCCAGCGGAUAAUGCCGGGGACUCUAGAGAAACUGCCCGCGCAAGCGGUGAGGAAGGCGGGGAUGACGUCAAAUCAUCACGGCCCUUACGUCCUGGGCUACACACGUGCUACAAUGGUCGGUACAAUGGGCAGCUACCACGCAAGUGGAUGCGAAUCUCUAAAGCCGAUCUCAGUUCGGAUUGAAGUCUGCAACUCGACUUCAUGAAGCUGGAAUCGCUAGUAAUCGGAUAUCAGCCAUGAUCCGGUGAAUACGUUCCCGGGCCUUGUACACACCGCCCGUCAAGCCAUGGAAGCCGAGGGUGCCUGAAGUCGGUUGCCGUAAGGCGCUGCCUAGGGUAAAAUUGGUAACUGGGGCUAAGUCGUAACAAGGUAGCCGUACCGGAAGGUGCGGCUGGAAUACCUCCUUU